CGGAGGAAAAGAAACCAACAGGGAUUGCCUCAGUAACGGCGAGUGAAGCGGCAACAGCUCAAAUUUGAAAUCUGGCGGCCUCUGGGCCGUCCGAGUUGUAAUUUGAAGAGGAUGCUUUUGGCGAGGCGCCUUCCGAGUGCCCUGGAACGGGACGCCACAGAGGGUGAGAGCCCCGUAUGGUUGGACGCCGAGCCUCUGUAAAGCUCCUUCGACGAGUCGAGUAGUUUGGGAAUGCUGCUCAAAAUGGGAGGUAAACCCCUUCUAAAGCUAAAUACUGGCCAGAGACCGAUAGCGCACAAGUAGAGUGAUCGAAAGAUGAAAAGCACUUUGAAAAGAGAGUUAAAUAGCACGUGAAAUUGUUGAAAGGGAAGCGCUUGCGACCAGACUUGUGCCCGUCGAAUCAGCCGCCGCUCGCCGGCGGCGCACUUCGGCGGGCUCAGGCCAGCAUCAGUUCGCUGCAGGGGGAGAAAGGCGGCGGGAAUGUGGCUCUUCGGAGUGUUAUAGCCCGCCGCGCAAUACCCCUCGGCGGACUGAGGACCGCGCAUCUGCAAGGAUGCUGGCGUAAUGGUCGUCAGCGACCCGUCUUGA
rnacentral:rRNA from 1 species